UAAUACGUAGGGGGCGAGCGUUGUCCGGAUUUAUUGGGCGUAAAGAGCUCGUAGGCGGUUGGCAAGUCGGGUGUGAAACCUCCAGGCUCAACCUGGAGACGCCACUCGAUACUGCUAUGGCUAGAGUCCGGUAGGGGACCACGGAAUUCCUGGUGUAGCGGUGAAAUGCGCAGAUAUCAGGAGGAACACCGGUGGCGAAGGCGGUGGUCUGGGCCGGCACUGACGCUGAGGAGCGAAAGCGUGGGUAGCAAACAGGAUUAGAUACCCUGGUAGUCCACGCCGUAAACGUUGGGCACUAGGUGUGGGGCCUUAUCAACGGGUUCCGUGCCGUAGCUAACGCAUUAAGUGCCCCGCCUGGGGAGUACGGCCGCAAUGCU
rnacentral:rRNA from 1 species